UACGUGGGGGGUAAGCGUUGUCCGGAAUUACUGGGCGUAAAGGGCUCGUAGGCGGCCAACUAAGUCGGACGUGAAAUCCCUCAGCUUAACUGGGGAACUGCGUCCGAUACUGGAUGGCUUGGAUUUGGGAGAGGGAUGCGGAAUUCCAGGUGUAGCGGUGAAAUGCGUAGAUAUCUGGAGGAACACCGGUGGCGAAGGCGGCAUCCUGGACCAAUAUUGACGCUGAGGAGCGAAAGCCAGGGGAGCAAACGGG
rnacentral:rRNA from 1 species